GUCCAAAUAUGAGGAGAGUAGGGUUGAUAUAAGGAGAAAGGCUUUUUAAGUAAGUGCGGAGGAGGGCGGCAGCUUGCUGAUGUGAAAUGUCUGGAGAGGUCUUGCUGGACCUGUCUAGAAAGUAAAUGAGUUCUUCAGGAGGGUAAAAUGAGGGCUGUUAAAGGAAGUUUGGAGAUGUAGGGAGACAGGAGAUGUUGCCUAGUCUGCAUGUAAGGUGGGGACAGCUGUGUAGGCACUGGAAGAAAGGGAAAUGCAAAGCCAGCAGUUUGCUAAGAAGGGAUUAGAAACGGCUAGGAGAGAUUGAGUAAAGUUGACAGUGUGGUGGAGAUAGCUGGGGAGAGGUAGAGGGUGGAACUAGUAUCAAUAAACCAAGUGUGCUCAGGGUGAGGAACAGGAAAGAAGGAAAUAUGGGGAAAUGGGGUGAAUGCCCGAUUGAAGUCUGGGCCAGAAACAAUGAUAAUUGUGGGAGACUCAACAAAGAGUGAGUACAGCUGAAGGAGCUGGGGAGCAGAAAGUAUAUGUGUCAGGUGUGAGGAAGAAAAUAGAUUUUGGAAGUUAUGAGAACUGUAGAGAGUGAGUUGAGCAGUUUGUGAUUUUUAGGGCCUUUAAAAGUAUUAAGGCAGCGGCAGCUGCUGCAGGCAGACAUGAGGGCUAGGCUAAAAGAGUAAGGUCCAGUAGUUUGGACAGAAAGGCUACAGGAUGCAGUCCCGGCUCUUGUGUAAGAAUUCUGACCGCACUAACCAUGCC
rnacentral:lncRNA from 1 species